rnacentral:misc_RNA from 1 species
AAAGUGCGAUAAGUCAUGUGAAUUGCAGAUUGUGAAUCAUCGAAUCUUUGAACGCAAAUGGCGCCUGCGGGCCUAAUCCCGGAGGCAUGUCUGGCUGAGUGUCGGUUUCAUUAUCUCACAUCCCUCCUAUAUAUUACUAGGAGUGUGUGUGGGUGUAGUGGGAACGCUCUUUUCUCUUGUAGAAGAGACGGUCCUGAAGACCAGCGAGUAGGAGGCGUGCUCACUGCUUUGUGUAUAUGCUUCAAACGUGGUGUCUCUCAUAUUAAUACUAUAUUGAUGUGGAAACAAAAAAAGAUCGUUUGGAACACUAUAUACAUAUAAAAAAAGGCGGGAACGAGGCGUCUCUGAAGGAAAAAACACAACUAUUUUAAACCAUCGACAUCAGCUCAGGCAAGAGUAC